rnacentral:rRNA from 1 species
GACGAACGCUGGCGGCGUGCCUAAUACAUGCAAGUAGAACGCACAGUUUAUACCGUAGCUUGCUACACCAUAGACUGUGAGUUGCGAACGGGUGAGUAACGCGUAGGUAACCUGCCUGGUAGCGGGGGAUAACUAUUGGAAACGAUAGCUAAUACCGCAUAAUAUUAAUUAUUGCAUGAUAAUUGAUUGAAAGAUGCAACUGCAUCACUACCAGAUGGACCUGCGUUGUAUUAGCUAGUAGGUGAGGUAACGGCUCACCUAGGCGACGAUACAUAGCCGACCUGAGAGGGUGAUCGGCCACACUGGGACUGAGACACGGCCCAGACUCCUGCGGGAGGCAGCAGUAGGGAAUCUUCGGCAAUGGACGAAAGUCUGACCGAGCAACGCCGCGUGAGUGAAGAAGGUUUUCGGAUCGUAAAGCUCUGUUGUAAGAGAAGAACGGGUGUGAGAGUGGAAAGUUCACACUGUGACGGUAUCUUACCAGAAAGGGACGGCUAACUACGUG